rnacentral:rRNA from 1 species
GACGAACGCUGGCGGCGCGCUUAACACAUGCAAGUCGAGCGAGAACCUGGGCUUCGGCCCAGGGGACAGCGGCGAACGGGUGAGUAUCACGUGGAUAACCUGCCCUCGGCACCGGGAUAGCCCGGGGAAACCCGGAUUAAUACCGGAUAGCCAUUCCGACUCUCGGGUCGGUCUGAAAAGGUAGCUUCGGCCUCUGGCCGAGGAUGGGUCCGCGGCGGAUUAGCUUGUUGGUGGGGUAACGGCCUACCAAGGGGACGAUCCGUAGCUGGUCUGAGAGGACGAUCAGCCACACUGGGACUGAGACACGGCCCAGACUCCUACGGGGGGCAGCAGUGGGGAAUCUUGCGCAAUGGGCGAAAGCCUGACGCAGCGACGCCGCGUGAGGGAGGAAGGCCUCCGGGUUGUAAACCUCUUUCAGGAGGGACGAAGCUACUCGGGUGAAUAGCCCAGAGGGUGACGGUACCUCCAGAAGAAGCCCCGGCUAACUACGUGCCAGCCGCCGCGGUAAAAC